rnacentral:lncRNA from 1 species
GCCUCCUAGCACCACACGUGAGACUGACGGCCGUUGACAACUGCCAUUUGGACCCUUUUCUGUGCGAAAAAUGUCAUUUUCCGACAAGACCAAGGCAUGUAUCUGAUCGUCAAUCCUCUGGCCACAGUCCCCCGGGUCAGGCUUUACAGCUGAUUGAACAAUUGGGCAAAGCUGUUUGAGUAUACAUAGGGAGACGUAUUCAGAACCCGCUGGCUGAGCUGGUGAAGACUGACCCAAACACAUCAGCAUUGGAAACUACCAGACCCAGACUGCUGCGUGGGCUGACCUCUCCAGACUGCUAGCCAAGACUGCUCUGGUCAGCCAGCCAGUCCCCCCGUCCC